UACGGGGGGGGUAAGCGUUGUUCGGAAUUACUGGGCGUAAAGGGCUCGUAGGCGGCCAACUAAGUCGGACGUGAAAUCCCUCAGCUUAACUGGGGAACUGCGUCCGAUACUGGAUGGCUUGGAUUUGGGAGAGGGAUGCGGAAUUCCAGGUGUAGCGGUGAAAUGCGUAGAUAUCAGGAGGAACACCGGUGGCGAAGGCGGCUCUCUGGACCACAACUGACGCUGAGGCGCGAAAGCUAGGGGAGCAAACAGG
rnacentral:rRNA from 1 species